CUGCCAGUGAUAAACUGGAGGAAGGUGGGGAUGACGUCAAGUCAUCAUGGCCCUUACGAGUAGGGCUACACACGUGCUACAAUGGCAUAUACAAAGAGAAGCGACCUCGCGAGAGCAAGCGGACCUCGUAAAGUAUGUCGUAGUCCGGAUUGGAGUCUGCAACUCGACUCCAUGAAGUCGGAAUCGCUAGUAAUUGUAGAUCAGAAUGCUACGGUGAAUACGUUCCCGGGCCUUGUACACACCGCCCGUCACACCAUGGGAGUGGGUUGCAAAAGAAGUAGGUAGCUUAACCUUCGGGAGGGCGCUUACCACUUUGUGAUUCAUGACUGGGGUGAAGUCGU
rnacentral:rRNA from 1 species